GAUCCCUUAGCUCAGCGGUAGAGCGUCUGAUUCCAGUACAGGAUUCCAGCAUAGGCUUCCAGAAGGUCAUCCGUUCAAUCCGGGUAGGGGUCA